rfam:Felis catus isolate Cinnamon breed Abyssinian chromosome D1, whole genome shotgun sequence.
GCCUGGGUGGUUCAAUCGGUUGAGCGUCUGACUUCAGCUCAGGUCAUGAUCUCCUGGUUUGUGGGUUCAAGCCCCAUGUCGGGCU